GACAGAGGAUGCAAGUGUUAUCCGGAAUCACUGGGCGUAAAGCGUCUGUAGGUGGUUUAAUAAGUCAACUGUUAAAUCUUGAGGCUCAACCUCAAAAUCGCAGUCGAAACUAUUAGGCUAGAGUAUAGUAGGGGUAAAGGGAAUUUCCAGUGGAGCGGUGAAAUGCGCAGAGAUCGGAAAGAACACCAACGGCGAAAGCACUCUGCUGGGCCGACACUGACACUGAGAGACGAAAGCUAGGGGAGCGAAUGGG
rnacentral:rRNA from 1 species